GUAACAGUGAUGAAUAACAUUACCGCCCCAGUCUGAUUGCUGUGACUGAUUGGUAUGCAAACUGAGUUUCC